rnacentral:rRNA from 1 species
AGCGAACGCUGGCGGCAGGCCUAACACAUGCAAGUCGAACGAACUCUUCGGAGUUAGUGGCGGACGGGUGAGUAACACGUGGGAACGUGCCUUUUGGUUCGGAAUAACUCAGGGAAACUUGUGCUAAUACCGAAUGUGCCCUUCGGGGGAAAGAUUUAUCGCCAUUAGAGCGGCCCGCGUCUGAUUAGCUAGUUGGUUAGGUAACGGCUCACCAAGGCGACGAUCAGUAGCUGGUCUGAGAAGAUGACCAGCCACACUGGGACUGAGACACGGCCCAGACUCCUACGGGAGGCAGCAGUGGGGAAUCUUGCGCAAUGGGCGGAAGCCUGACGCAGCCAUGCCGCGUGAAUGAUGAAGGUCUUAGGAUUGUAAAAUUCUUUCACCGGGGACGAUAAUGACGGUACCCGGAGAAGAAGCCCCGGCUAACUUCGUG